GACGAACGCUGGCGGCGUGCCUAAUACAUGCAAGUCGAACGCUGAAGGAGUAGCUUGCUUCUCUGGAUGAGUUGCGAACGGGUGAGUAACACGUAGGUAACCUGCCUGGUAGCGGGGGAUAACUAUUGGAAACGAUAGCUAAUACCGCAUAAGAGUAGCUGUUGCAUGACAUUUGCUUAAAAGGUGCAAUUGCAUCACUACCAGAUGGACCUGCGGUGUAUUAGCUAGUUGGUGGGGUAACGGCUUACCAAGGCGUCGAUACAUAGCCGCCCGGAGAGGGGGGGCGGCCAGACUGGGACGGAGACACGGCCCAGACGGCUACGGGAGGCAGCAGGAGGGAAUCGUGGGGAAGGGACGGAAGUCUGAGCGAGCAACGCGGCGUGAGUAAAGAAGGGUGUCGGAUCGGAAAGCUCGGUUGUAAGGGAAGAAAGAGUGUGAGAGUGGAAAGUACACAGUGUGACGGUAUCUUACCAGAAAGGGACGGCUAACUACGUG
rnacentral:rRNA from 1 species